rnacentral:lncRNA from 1 species
UGGGCAUCAGCUGCUGGCAACUGUCUUGCUGAUGCCAUGGGCAUGGCACAGCAGGCACAGUGUUGACAGUGCCCUGUGUCACACAGGCAUGGGUGACAUCACCAGCACAGGGAGAUCAUCGGAACAGCUACACCCCUCUUCCAGCCCUGGCCACCGGAGAGAAGGAUGGUGAGCAGAAGCAGAGGGCCACAGACCCAGAGGAGAGCGUCAUCAGGCCAUGGAAACCUCCUGGAUCAGGAAGCUCAGCUGGAGAGAUGUCCCACCUUCCACAAGGACAUGGACACAAAGAUAUGUAAUCAAAAUAACACCAGCCUGGUGUAAUUUAGGCAUCAUCCGCUGACAAGUGCCUUGGUGAUGCCAUGGGCAUAUCAUACCAAGCAGGACAUUGGUAGUUCCCUGUGUCACACAGGCAUGGGCGACAUGGCCAGCACAGGGAAAUCAUAAGAAGAGCUUCAACCCUCUCCCAGCCCAGGCCAGAGGAGAACAGUAUGGGCCAGAGACCCAGAGGAGAAUAUCAUCAUGAUCAUGGAAACCUCCUGGAUCAGGAAGCUCAGCUGGAGAGAUGUCCCAGCUUCCACAAGGACAUCAAUACAAAGAUAUGUAAUCAAUGUAACACCAGCCUGGCUGUAAUUUUUGGCAUCAGCUGCUGGCAACUGUCUUGGUAAUGCUGUGGGCAUAUGACAGCAGGCAUAACAUUGGCUGUUCCCUGUGUCACGCUCGCAUAAUGAACAUGGCCAACACAGGGAGAUCAUCAGAAGAGCUUUAAAUCCUCUCCCAGCCCAGGCCAGAGGAGAGCAGGAUGGUGAGCAGAGACCAAGGUGAGAGGGCAGGACAGAAGACAUGGAAUGCAAGGGCUGGGCCCUGGGCAGGGAGGCAGGCUUGUCUGUCAUGCAACAGAUUGUUUUUCCUCCUCCAUUGUCUUAGAGGGCCAGAGGUCCAGAAGAGAACAUCAUCAGACCAUGGAAACCUCCUGUCCUCGGUUCCUCAGCGGUAGUGUUGUUCCACCUUCUACAAAGAUAUCGAUACAAAGAUAUGUAAUCAGCAUUACACCAGCCUGGCUGAAUUUUUGGGCAUCAGUUGGUGGCAACUGCCUUGCUGAUGCCAUGGGCAUGCCACAGCAGGCACAACGUUGGCAGUUCCCUGUAUCACACAGGCAUGGGUGACAUGGGAGACAGGGAGAUGAAAUGGGCAUAGGGAGAUCAUCGGAACAGCUGCACCCCUCUCCCAGCCCAAGCUACUGGAUAGCAGGAUAGUGAGCAGAAGCAGAGGUGAGAGGGCAAGACAGAGGCACUGCAGGGAAGGGCUGGGCCCU